UAACUCCCUCCAUAAUGUAGGAAACAUUGCUUCUAUUAUUGUACAGGAGAACCCUCCAUAAUGUCUUAAGAUGAUAAUAGUCUCAUGUGAUGAUGUGAACAUGAUUUACAAAACCACUAGCAAGUUGUAUGCUCAAGCCAUCGCCAGCUUCUAUAAUCCUACAACUAUUUUUUCGGUCAAAAUUAAUUGCUUCGUAUUUUAAACUAAUCGUAUUAAAGUGGUGGUUUUCAA